rnacentral:tRNA from 1 species
GGGCUAGUGGCGAAAUGGUAUACGCACGACACUUAAAAUGUCGCGUUCGCAAGGACAUGUGGGUUCGACUCCCACCUAGCCCA